GUGUGUGUGUGUGUGUGUGCUUGCAGCUGAGUGAGAACAUAUUUUUCGUAUUUUACCACCAAAGUGAAGACCUUUCAAUGCUCCUCACUUUUUUUCAGGGGUUAACUUUAGGACUAAAGUGUCAGCUAGGUUUAGGUUAGGGUUCUGUAUCUACUGGCAACAAUUAGGUUUAAGGUUAGGACCAGUGACAGAAAUUGUUAAAAUGGUCCUCAUGAAACCUGAAGAACACGGAGGAAAAUGUAGUCUGCCAAAAUCAGCAGACCCCAAGGCACACGUCCUAUUCAAGAUUGUGAUCAGACAGAUGAGUAUCUUCAGUUGGAGGCUGAAGCGUCAUAAAAAAACAAAAAAGCAAACUCAGAUAACCUAAACCAUUUGUGUUUGGGACAUUCAAGUCCCCGGGCCCUUAAACUGCAGCCCGGGGCCCAAUUGCAGCUCUUGAAAUUAUUUUGUGUGGCCUGCAAUCCCAGAAUGUAACAAUUCUGGUUCACUGACACCAGCAGUUAAUGGAAAUGAACACAUUAUUUAACUUUUUUAGACCAGGAUUUGUACUGGCAGAUUAUGGAAAAGGUGGCUGUUUUUCCUCACUCAAGUUUUUAUUUUUUUAUUUUAAUUUCUUUAAAACUAAAAUAUCAAACAUCCAGUAACUUUUAUUUAGGAGCAGACUUGUUUUGUAAAAAAAAAAAAAAAUAUUGUUGUUAAAUGGAUAAAAAGGUAAUUAAACACUAUAAAAUGACUUCUUUGACUUUAAUUUGAAAAAUAUAAUGUGCCUGUUGGAACCUCUAAAUAAGUGUUUUUGCCCACAUCAAAUAAAUCAAGGGGUGGGGGGUUAUAUUAUUAUUAUUAUUAUUAUUAUUAUUAUUAUUAUUAUUAUUAUUAUUGAAGCACCUAUUCCUGUUAAUUUACUAAUUUGUCCAUAUGAGCAAUAAGCUGUCAUCCUUUUAUUCACCCAUCUCCUAUAGUUUGUAGUGAUGCCAGAAGGAAAUAAGCUACAUAUGCAGCAGCACAUACCCACCACCUCCACAUGUGUCACCAUGAUCCUCUCGUAGGCAGGUUGUUUAAAUGUCAAAAGAGAAUGGCCCCUCCAGCCAAGUGUUGAACUUGGUGGAAAUUCACUAUUGGUGACCGGGCCAGAAGAAACAAAAAAAAAUGCACUAAAAGGCAUCUGAUGUCCAGUACCACUUAUACAUUAUAUUAUCAUUUGUAUUUAAAAUUUCCCCCCAAAAUACCCAUAUAUAAAUUAUUUUAGUGACAGUUCACAUAUUUUUUUACAGCUAAAACAUGUAAUUUACAUUGUUCUGACAUCAUUGUAUUAGUAUGUGUGCAUAUAUAUUACAAUAGCUUUGAAAGACCGUAACAAGUUAAUGUACUAUAUUUUUCAGUUGAGACAUAUUUGAACCUAUAAUUAGUCCUCUAUAAAUAACAGCAUACUGCCAGGACACAGGUCCUGUACCCUGAGAUUAGCAAAAACAAAUAGUUCAGGUCAUUCCUCCCAAAAACACAUCCAUAAGGUACAUGUGUGCUGGACAACCUCUCCUGACUCCGCAGACUGAUGUCUGGCCAAACUGCUGUGGCGACAGGGAGACCUGCUGGAGUGAAACAUCUACAGCUGCAAGCAAGCAGAGCAGGGCCUUCACAACAUAAACAGCAGUUACCGUACUUCCACAAUGGCAACUGGAGGGAGCCAGUAGUACCACCGACGUUUUAUCUGCACACAGUAUUUAUUCUUACCGGAACCCUAAAGCAACAGCAAGGAUCUAUUUUAAGAACCGCACCAAUAGUGGCUCAGUCAACACGGAGACAUAUGAACGCGCUUGUCCAAAGCUGUGGGCCUGGUGAUGAGGCUGCAUUUUGGCAUGCCUGUUAACAAGCACAGGAUGAGAAAACCUUCUCCCUUUGCAUUUGUUCAUUUAUCCAAAAAGCUGAAAAGCUAAAGUUGCUCUUCCUUUAGUUUUAGCAAUUGUUUUCAUGGCAGCAGUAGCUAACAUUUUGGGGUAGUGUUGCGUAGCUGUGGGAGCCUUCAAUCACCUGUCUGAAAUGUGACAAUGAUGUCUUGAUUUUACAAUUUACUCACAAAUGACCUGCAGAUUAGGCUGAAUUGUUCCUUUAGAGUUGUCCUGUGGAGUUUUGACUUGAGCAGUAGCGGUUUAUACCAGCACUUCAGAUGCACCACCCUGGCAGCAGGUCUGUUUGUGCAAACAGACCUGCUGCUUACUGACUCCGUCCAAUUCAUUCUGUUUGGAGUUUUACAGAUGUUGCAGAUGUGAAUUGACUUUAUGGAAGAUUUUAUGUUGCAUAUAACGCAGCUCCAAUGCAAACUGACGACAUAAAUAAAUAAAUGAAUGAAUUAAUAAAUAAAUAAAUAAAUGAUAACUUUAAACAGCAGCAGUUUUAGAGACUACUGAUUCAAUUGAAAACCAGCUGAUAAAUCUUUGCUCUUAUGAUAUUGUGACAUUAAAAAAUAAAUACAAUUUAUAUGUAAUUGUUUGCAGGGACAGGACUUUAAAGCAUGUUCCCCUACUAGAGAUCCUCACUGUCAAAACACACAAAAUGUAUUUUCUGUAUUUUCUAUUUAUUUCCAGUCUCCAAGAACAUUGAUUGAGCAGUAGGUGUUCUUUUUCUAGCUAGUGAUCUCUGGUCUCCAGCAUAGGGUGUGCCACAGCAGGGUAGGUGAGCUGUAAAUUACCGUGGCACUGUAUCCAGGCCUGAAGUUACAUUUGAGGUAACCCCUCCAAAACCUAAAUCCUCCUGGGAGUGCAGGCCCCUGUGGAGUUGUUUGAUCCCUUGUUUGGAUUUGCUUGACAAGCAGCCUCUGGUGGCCGUCUGAAUUAUAACCUAGCACCUGAAUUACCACCUAGAUCAAUUUUGCAAGUUCAGCCAAAAAAAAAAAAAAAAAACAACAACAACAGAGGAUUUGUUCAAACUCUUGCACAGCAAUACGCAGUUUUUGUCUAAUAUUGAAACUUAGGUUAUUCUCUUACAACCACAGCCUUCGUCAUCAGUUUUAAGCAGCCCAGUGGAAACCAAUGCAAUUUUAGGGUGUAAGAAAAUAAACCCCAAAAAAUAUGUGGAGUAAAAAAUACAGAAGGCAAGACCUAAAGUAUGAGAGCUAGUGUAACCGGCUGUUAUACGUUUGUUUUUAGUAAGCAAUAAAAAAAUGUACGGCUGCAUUUAUGCUAAAAAAAAAAAGAUUUACAUGUAGUUAUGACAGUUAAAAAAACAUUGCACCUAGAAAAUAUAUGGUGCUGGUAACAUCUCUGGAUGGUGGUGCUCUGAGAUUAUGUGUAGAAGUAAGGCGGCAAAUAUUUUAACAGCUAAAUUACAUGAAAGAUUCUGGUUUACCACAGACUUAAUGAAUAAUCCUUAAACCAACAUGUCAUCUGUUUGUUCUGAGAAAACUGUAGAUUAUUAUUUAUAUCAUCCCAGACUGUGCUGCUCUCUCAAAAGGACAUCAAGCCUUUAAAUAUGUUGCAUCCUGUGGUUAUAUAACUAGCACAGGACUUUACGAUUUCACCAAAGCAUUUGUUCUUUUUUACUCUGUGGUAGUUUUUAACAACGCCACAGUAGAGAUUGAAGGAAACUAAUUAUGAAUGUGUUUGAAUCAGAAAAUUUCAGAUGGGAUCAAUUAAAGCAGGCUUAUUCAAGCUGCUGAUAUUCAGUUGAACACGCGGCUCACUGGACUGUAGGCGGAAGAACAGCAGGAAAGUGUUAAGAGCAACAUUACACUAAAUAACAGAGCUGUACUAACAAGUCAUGACACUUUACAUUAAGCCUCACCUCCUGCACCUUUUAGUGACUAUCUCUGACUGUUAAACAGACGUGGUCCGUAACACGCUUAUAUGAAAUAAAUGAUCAAUCUGUCUGAUUUUUUUCAGCCAUGCUCAAACUUCCCCUGCUUGCUUGCGCAUGACCCUAAAAUAUAUAUAUUUUUUGAUAACAUUUUUAAAAAGGCUCAUACAAAAUGGUGACUCCAAACAAUGUGGUGUUGUAAUUGUCUGUGUCUUGUUUACUAGAUUAUUUGUUUUCAGGUAACAAAAUGAAACAAUUCAUCAAAAUCUUUGCAAUAAAAUUCUGAGAGGAUGUGAAUGUGAGCUGGUCAAACUCAGCGUCUGAUGCACUCUGAAAGUCAAAGACAAUGAAGAAAAGCUGCUGUGCUGUAAAACAUAUUACCAGAGUUAGAAAUGACUCUUAGAUAGAGGUGUUUGCAGUAAAGCUGGCGUUUUCCCACCACCUUAACUGAAUAAAAG